UGAAGCUUUUCCCUGUGAAUCUGGAAUCUUCUGAUAUAGCCACAGCUGAUAAUGGGGAUGGCUCCUUCCUAGGGCUUUCCUGUGAGCUCUGCUUCAAGGACAAAGGGAAAUCAGCCUCUUCACUGAGUGAUCAUCAAGCACUUGAGCUCCAGAUUUAUGGGAUCCCUAACCAGAAUGGAAAUUAGGCAAUGUUGUCAAAAAUGACAGUUUCUGCCUCCCCUGUUCAGAACUUGUCUUCGUUCAUGUUUUAAAGGGUUGUGCCCCAUGGGAAUGCAGCAGGCAGUCAUGCACCAGGUCUGCCCUCCCAGUUCUUGUCCACUGGGCUGUGGGUGACGUUUGGAGAAUGCCUGUCCCUGCUGUGGUGAAAUGAGCUUUGUCUCAGUUCUCCUGCAAGAAGAGUGAGAUGUUGAAUGUCCAUCCUUCUGGAAAAGAUCAGGGAUGUGAGAACUCCACUGUGUCAGCUCAAGGCCUCCCAUUGCUUUAUUUCUGAUUUGACUGCAGUAGUUUCUUACGGUGCCUUUCUCCACCCAGCACCGAUCUUUGUCCCAUGUGAGACAAUCAUCUGAAAUACUGGCAGGCUUUUAAUUUUUUGAUAAGCAGAGUUGAUCUUUAAAAUGUCCCAUGCCCUCUUGCUUUUCUAAAACUUAAAUUACUUUGUGCUUCUUCUAUUUUUCAACCAGUUCAGUGGUU